CUUCGUCUCAAAAAAAUAAAAAAAUUUAAAAAAAAAAAAACACAGAAUCAAGGCUAAGAAUUUCACCAUACAAAAUCAAAUUCCUGGGUAGCUGCAAGUUUGCUCAGUUAACUCGUGUAGUUCAAGUGACUUAACUCACAUAGUUCAAGUGACUCAGCUAGUCACUAGAUCUUUUCUUACGGUUUCAGAGAAAAGUCAGCAAAAACUGCACAUUAUACAGGGCGACAGGCAUGGCAGCAGUUUCUGGUGCACAUGUUGCCUGUCUCCCGGUGACAGAAGAUAACAGAGGACUAAGAGCGCACAUAUACCUCAAGAGCCCUAAGGCUGCCACAGGAGAGUAAACAACUCCACCCAGCACUGCUCCAGGCCGGCUGAUCAACAAGGCACUCAUCCAAGGACCCUGCUAAUGACCUCUCACUCCCACCUCUCAAAGCCUGACCAGCCUCGAACUUCACGCUUCCCAAGAUCCUAAACAAGAUCGGCUCCCAGCUUUGCUGAGGAAA
rnacentral:lncRNA from 10 species